CUCCUGAGCCAGUUAAGAAGUGAAUCCCAGAGAACCAUCUCCAAAGAUUUGAUAUUUCCGCAGAUUUAACACUCAAUUCUGGAUUUGGAGAUUCAAAAUCGAAAUAACCGUAGACCUAGUUCGAUUAUUGUUGCUUAAUGGGGUAAAUGAGAGAAGCAGAGAGAAGAGAAAUAUGGAAGAAUCUGAGAAGAUUUGAUCAGAGAACAAUGAGAGAAGCAAAGAGUCGACAAAAAAACUCGUAACCCAUUGGAGAUGGUCUUAGAGCAUCAGCAGUGGUAUAUCCGAACAUGGGGUAUGAGUAAUUUAAAAUUGAGAAAUAAUCAGAAUAGUCCACUUUUAUGUACAUCCGAGUGUUAAGUUACAAUCGGUUGCAAGGGUUACGUGGCGAACAAAACUUGGGUUCACCCCUAGAGUGAACCUCUUUAUUCACCUCUUCUUUUUUUAACCAAUAAGAAUAUGACAUGUCAUAUUAUAUAUAAAUAAAAUAAACAAAUAAAUUUAAAAUCAGGAAAAAAAAAGAAAUGAAACAAAAUCUAUAUUUACUUAACGUCAACGUUGACGUUACAAACAUCUUUUUUAAUACAAUUUAUUUUAUGAACAAUUUUGGGUUUUUAUUCACCUUAAGUUUCUAACCAAUCAUAAUAUGUCAUUUAAAAUAAAAAAUUAAACUCAUUUAUUUAUAAAAUCUAAACCCUAACUCUUCUUUUAUAAACCUAAACCGACAUAUAAUCACGUCUAAUUAUAAAAUCUAAACCCUAAUCAUCCUUUAUAAACCCAAACCGACAUAUAAUCACGUCUAAUUACAAAAUCUAAACCCUAAUCCUCCUUUAUAAACCCAAACCGAUAUUUACCUCGUUUAAUUAUAAAAUCUAAACCCUAACCGUUCUUUAUAAACCCAAACCGAUAUUUAACCUCGUUUAAUUAUAAUAUUUAGACCCUAACCGUUUUGUAUAAACCCAAACCGAUAUUUAAACUUGUUUAAUUGUAACAUCUAAAUGCGUUUAUAAACCUAAACCAAUAUUUGAUUUUGUUUAAUCAAAAAAUAUAUAUCCUAACUCUUUUUUAUAAACCCGAACUGAUAUAUAACUGCGUUUUGGUAGCAGACUAAAUUUUACAAAUAAUUAAAUAAAAUAUAAGUAUUUUAAUUGGUUAGAAAAAGAGAUAAAUAAAAAGAAUCAUCUCUAAUAAUAAACCCAAAUAAUUUUUUUAUUUUAUACAAAAAUAUACAUCCAACUUUAAUCUAUAUCUCUCUAUAAAAUAAAUUAUAUUAAAAAGGUACCUAACGUCAAAAUAAGACGCCAACAUUGACGUUAGUUUAUGUAAAAAUUUUGUUUCCUUGUUUUUCUGAUUUUAGAUUUAGUUUAUUAUUUUAUUUAAAUAUAAUAUGACAUGUCAUAAUUUCAUUGGUUAAAAAAGGAGGAGGUGAAUAAGGGUGAACCCAAAUAUUUUCCUUACGUGGCCUUUUUCUCUCUCUCUUUUUCUUUCUCUCUUUUUUCUCUUUUGCUUUAAAUGAUAAUAAUAAAAAAAUUGUUACACCCAUACAAGCUCUUACUAGACUAAAUUCUACAGUA
rnacentral:lncRNA from 1 species